rnacentral:lncRNA from 1 species
CCGCGCCCUGCCCCCUCGCCCCUCCCUGCGCCCCCGGCCGCCUCCGACCCCAGCGGAAAGGGGCUUCCUGCGCCUUCGCAGACACGUGUGCCCCUUUCAUUUCCGCGUCCCCAACAGGCGGGGAGGCAGGGUCCCAAGGAGAAGCGAUUUACUUGCCCAGUAUCACAAUGGGGGGCGGGGGGGACCGAGGGGAGAGAGGAGCCUGAAAUAAGGGUCGGAGAAAAAUUAGAAGUUUGUUCAUAGAACUGUUCCUACCAAGAACAACCGGGAUCUCCUGGCUUUCCCCUUCCCAGCAGAGCACUUCUUAUAUCAUCAUGCCACUGGGCGUUUCAGGCUCUGGCACCAGAAUCCGGGAGAAGGUCACCACGAGAUGCCAGUAGGGCCAAGAUGAAGACCACGUGAGACAGGUGUCGGCAACCUACAGCCCAUGAGUCAAAUCGAGCCCACUCCCUCUUUUUGUACAACCCACAAGCUGAGAAUGGCUUUUACAUUUUAAGGGGUUGGGGGAAAAAAUCAAAAGAAGAGUAACA